UAGGGUGACUCUUAAUUGAUCAUUUGAUGUAACUAUCACUAAGCAGCUCAGUUUCCCCCACUCACCUCUGUGUUGCUAUAGUUGCUGUUACUGUGUUGAGAGAUGGAUAAGUGGGCGACACAGAUAUGAAAGAGGUCUCUCAGGAUUCGUUACUACCUUUUCUGCAGUUUACAAAAGAGAGGAAAGUUGCUUUUCCAAAUAUCUGCUUGCCUGAUCAGUGUGCUAAUGCAUGAAUUUCUGAUAAGCAACGCCAAGCUCUUGUUCUCCCUUCUUAUGGUUCCUCAUUUUCAAAACAACUAGUAGUGGACUACUCUUCAUGUACGGAAUGCCUUCAGUUAAAGAUGGACAGCCCUUCGCUUCUUCCAGAAUCUUAAAAGAAUGAAUUCUCUCUGACUUGGCCCAGCAGAAUGAAAUGUGCUCCCAAAUGAUACAACCAUAGAUGUUGCCAGAUACGGGAUGAAGUCAGCCAGAGUGGAGAGGAAAAAAUAAGAGGAAGAAACCAUCCUACAGCAAGCACUGGGGAAGCUUCCAGGACCUCCGAAGACUGUUUCCAACACAAUGAUUGAGUUGGGAAUGGCAGCAGUAGUGUCAUAAAGUUACAGCUUCAGGCAAGAUGGAAUUUAUAAUUUCGUGGAAUCCCAUGGAGUAAUGACUUAAGAACAAUGAGGGAAAAUAAGAUUUCUUACUGAAGUUCCCUUGGAAACAUCAACAUAACAUACAGAUGAUGAAUGCGGCUAACAACUCUUGUGAUAAGCUUCCAGUCCUUUCCAUCACCCAAGGCUCAAACAUUAUAUUGUGGCUGCCUAAGUCAAACUAGCGCAAACAUCUCAUUUAACAUAGCAUUUUCAAAAACAUCAAAUGAUCAGGAAAGGCUCUGAUAACCAAGAACAUUGAAUUCCAUUCAAACAAAUAAUUGAGAUUUAUAAUCCCAGCCGUAAAGAAAAUGCAAGCAAACUAAAAUCAGCAUAGCAAAUGUCCUUUAAAGUUGAAAAGAACCUAUAAGAAGAGCAGCAGCAGUUAGCUUUGGCUAACAAAAAGAACUAAAAACUAACCUGAAUAUAUGCACCA